AACGAACGCUGGCGGCAGGCUUAACACAUGCAAGUCGAGCGCCCCGCAAGGGGAGCGGCAGACGGGCGAGUAACGCGUGGGAAUCUACCCAUCCCUACGGAAUAACGCAUGGAAACGUGUGCUAAUACCGUAUACGUCCUUCGGGAGAAAGAUUUAUCGGAGAUGGAUGAGCCCGCGUUGGAUUAGCUAGUUGGUGGGGUAAAGGCCUACCAAGGCGACGAUCCAUAGCUGGUCUGAGAGGAUGAUCAGCCACACUGGGACUGAGACACGGCCCAGACUCCUACGGGAGGCAGCAGUGGGGAAUAUUGGACAAUGGGCGCAAGCCUGAUCCAGCCAUGCCGCGUGAGUGAUGAAGGCCCUAGGGUUGUAAAGCUCUUUCACCGGUGAAGAUAAUGACGGUAACCGGAGAAGAAGCCCCGGCUAACUUCGUGCCAGCCGCCGCAGUAACAC
rnacentral:rRNA from 1 species